UACGUAGGGACCGAGCGUUGUCCGGAUUCAUUGGGCGUAAAGAGCUCGUAGGCGGCUGUCCAAGUUGAACGUGAAAACUCGGGGCUCAACUCCGAGCCUGCGUUCGAUACUGGACGGCUAGAGUCUGGUAGGGGAUCUGGAAUUCCUGGUGUAGCGGUGGAAUGCGCAGAUAUCAGGAGGAACACCGGUGGCGAAGGCGGGAUCCUGGGCCAGUACUGACGCUGAGGAGCGAAAGCGUGGGGAUCAAACAGG
rnacentral:rRNA from 1 species